rnacentral:rRNA from 1 species
CGCCUCUUGAUUACUAUAAGAGGUCCCGCCUGCCCUGUGACAAUGUUUAACGGCCGCGGUAUUUUGACCGUGCGAAGGUAGCGUAAUCACUUGUCUUUUAAAUGAAGACCUGUAUGAAAGGCAUCACGAGAGUUUAACUGUCUCUAUUUUCUAAUCAAUGAAAUUGAUUUUCCCGUGAAGAAGCGGGAAUAAUACCAUUAGACGAGAAGACCCUAUGGAGCUUCAAACACUUAGAUUAAUUUUGCAAAAUAUUUUUUACCCUAAGGGCUAAACCACAUAUAAUAUUUUUAAUUUAACUGUUUUUGGUUGGGGUGACCAAGGGGAAAAACAAAUCCCCCUUAUCGAUUGAGUACUAAGUACUUAAAAACUAAAGCGACAGCUUUAGUUGAUAAAAUAUUUAUCGAAAAAUGACCCAGGAUUUACUGAUCAAUGAACCAAGUUACCCUAGGGAUAACAGCGCAAUCCUUUCCAAGAGUCCCUAUCGCCGAAAGGGUUUACGACCUCGAUGUUGGAUCAGGACAUCCUAAUGGUGUAACCGUUAUUAAGGGUUCGUUUGUUCAACGAUUAAUAGUCCU